GAUUCUCACUUCGAGCCAAAUAAAUGAGUUGUUACCCUGCUAGAAAGAAAGAUAUUAGCCUGCUUGUUAAACUGAUAAAGCAGUUGCCCGGAGUUUCAGCCUUCAGGAAAUGGUCAAGCUCCUAAUUGACAAUAAUCUUGUAAACAAAGAUGUAGCAAGCGCUUGUAACUGGCGAAUUGCAAGUGGAGCAUGAACUAGGGUUAAUCACCUGACUUCAUUUUAUAAAGGGGAAGUCAUGACACUUGGAAAAAUGGAGGAACAUAAAGCUUCAGAAUCUUGUGAGGUCUCGCUCUUUCCUUUGUCACUCAAGUGUACGGCAUCUGCCGUUCUUAGGCCCCUUCUUCCCUGAAAGAGUCCACCGCCUGCCGUCAGGCCUGUCCCUUGAGUUGGUGAUUCCGAAGCUGGAUCAAAGGGGGUACUACGAGCCCUCUGCCCCACGCAUCUAACCAGCUCACGUGGUUCGCCGGUUCCACCGACUAGAACAUAUUCUCAGUCGAUACAGAGGUGCGCUUGAAAGUGGGGGGUGUGCUGUCCUUAUUGGGCCCU